UACGUAGGGUGCGAGCGUUGUCCGGAUUUAUUGGGCGUAAAGGGUGCGUAGGCGGCGCGGUAAGUCGGAUGUGAAAUCUCGGAGCUUAACUUCGAAACUGCAUUCGAUACUGCCGUGCUUGAGGACUGGAGAGGAGACUGGAAUUUACGGUGUAGCGGUGAAAUGCGUAGAUAUCGUAAGGAAGACCAGUGGCGAAGGCGGGUCUCUGGACAGUUCCUGACGCUGAGGCACGAAGGUCAGGGGAGCAAACGGG
rnacentral:rRNA from 1 species